rnacentral:misc_RNA from 1 species
CCGAGUGAGGGCCUCCGGGCCCGACCUCCAACCCUUUGUGAACACACCCGUUGCUUCGGGGGCGACCCUGCCGUUUCGACGGCGAGCGCCCCCGGAGGUCUUCCAACACUGCAUCUUUGCGUCGGAGCUUAAGGAAAUGAAACA